rnacentral:rRNA from 1 species
CGUCUUUUGUUAACCUAAUCAUAAAAGAUAUUGCCUGCCCAAUGACAACUGUUAAAUGGCCGCGUUAGCGUGAGCGUGCUAAGGUAGCGUAAUAAUUAGCUCCCCAAUUAGGAGCCAGCGAACGGCAAAACGAAGAAGGACUCUAUCAUUUGCGGUAAGAAAAAUUUUCCUUUAAGUGAAAAGACUUAAAUAACAAAAAAAGACAAAAAGACCCCGCGGAACUCCUUGAACCUUUAUUUUUGCAUAAAACAAUUAAACAAGACACCUCAAGUUGGUUGGGGCAACCUUGGAGCAAAACCAACCUCCAACAUACAUAAAACCACAUAAAAAACUUAGUGUGGACCACAAUCAUAGUUACCCCGGGGAUAACAGCGUAAUCCAGCUUAAGAGUACACAUCGAAAGCUGGGUUUGCGACCUCGAUGUUGGCUUAAGGACAUCCACAUUGGCGCAGUCGCUAAGUCUACC